AGUGAACGCUGGCGGCGUGCCUAAUACAUGCAAGUCGAACGGAGUGGCGCACGGGUGAGUAAUGUAUAGCUAAUCUGCCCUACACUAGAGGACAACAGUUGGAAACGACUGCUAAUACUCUAUAGUGUAGGAUGAGGCUAUAUUGUAUCAGCUAGUUGGUGAGGUAAUGGCUCACCAAGGCUAUGACGCAUAACUGGUAUGAGAGGAUGAUCAGUAACACUGUAACGGAGACAGCGUCCAGACUCCUUCGGGAAGGAGCAGUAGGGAAUAGUGCUCAAGGGGCGAAACUCUGAAGCAGCAUCGCCGCGUGGAGGAUGACACUUAGCGGAGCGUAAACUCCUUUUGUUAGGGAAGCGGUACCUAACGAAUAAGCACCGGCUAACUCCGUGCCAGCAGCCGCGGUAAUAC
rnacentral:rRNA from 1 species